GACAUCCAAGACGAGGAGAGGAAGAGGAAGAGGAGGAGAGUCUCUUAGUGAGCAAAAGAAAAAGGGGGAAGGACACAGAGGGAGGAAAACCUCUGUUAUAUGCCUUUCUGGCAGCAUGCAAAUGUUAGGGAAAGGGGAACAAAGGAAUAAAAGUUCAAAGAAUGUAAUGUGUGUAAUGGCAGAGGAUAAAAUAUAUGUUGACAGGGUGAACUGAGUGAGAUCAAGAAGAAUAUGUGGUGAUAAAAAAGCGUAGCAUGCCUGUACCAGCUGCAACUACAGUCAGAAGGGAAUCUGCCCCUCACUAUCAAGCUCAACAGUGCUUCGGUGCAUGGACAUCAUCAACAAGGAAGAAAAGAUAACGUAUCACAAGAUCGUUUUAAGAGUAAGUUGAUGGUUGAUAUCGGGACAUAGGCUCCAGCAACUCCCGCGACGCCAUGAGGGAUUAAGCGGGUCAGAAAAGGAAUGGAUG